rnacentral:rRNA from 1 species
GACGAACGCUGGCGGCGUGCUUAACACAUGCAAGUCGAGCGGUAAGGCCUUUCGGGUACGACGAGCGGCGAACGGGUGAGUAACACGUGGGUGACCUGCCUUUAGCUUCGGGAUAAGCCUGGGAAACCGGGUCUAAUACCGGAUAUGACCUCAUGUCGCAUGGUGUGGGUGGAAAGUUCUUCGGCUAGAGAUGGGCCUGCGGCCUAUCAGCUUGUUGGUGGGGUGAUGGCCUACCAAGGCGACGACGGGUAGCCGGCCUGAGAGGGCGACCGGCCACACUGGGACUGAGAUACGGCCC